rnacentral:rRNA from 1 species
GACGAACGCUGGCGGCGUGCUUAACACAUGCAAGUCGAACGGAAAGGCCCUGCUUGCAGGGUACUCGAGUGGCGAACGGGUGAGUAACACGUGGGUGAUCUGCCCUGCACUUCGGGAUAAGCCUGGGCAACUGGGUCUAAUACCGGAUAGGAGCCAUUUUUAGUGUGAUGGUUGGAAAGUUUUUUCGGUGUAGGAUGAGCUCGCGGCCUAUCAGCUUGUUGGUGGGGUAAUGGCCUACCAAGGCGGCGACGGGUAGCCGGCCUGAGAGGGUGGACGGCCACAUUGGGACUGAGAGACGGCCCAGACUCCUACGGGAGGCAGCAGUGGGGAAUAUUGCACAAUGGGCGCAAGCCUGAUGCAGCGACGCCGCGUGGGGGAUGACGGCCUUCGGGUUGUAAACUCCUUUCGCUAGGGACGAAGCUUUUUGUGACGGUACCUAGAUAAGAAGCACCGGCUAACUACGUG